rnacentral:rRNA from 1 species
UACAGAGGGGGCAAGCGUUGUUCGGAAUUACUGGGCGUAAAGGGCGCGUAGGUGGCCUUCUAAGUUGAACGUGAAAUCCCCGGGCUCAACCCGGGAACUGCGUCCGAUACUGGCAGGCUUGAAUCCGGGAGAGGGAUGUGGAAUUCCAGGUGUAGCGGUGAAAUGCGUAGAUAUCUGGAGGAACACCGGUGGCGAAGGCGGCAUCCUGGACCGGUAUUGACGCUGAGGCGCGAAAGCCAGGGGAGCAAACGGG